CGGGUGAGUAAUGUAUGGGGAGCUGCCUGAUGGCGGGGGAUAACUACUGGAAACGGUAGCUAAUACCGCAUAAUGUCUGCGGACCAAAGAGGGGGACCUUCGGGCCUCUUGCCAUCGGAUGUGCCCAGAUGGGAUUAGCUAGUAGGUGGGGUAACGGCUCACCUAGGCGACGAUCCCUAGCUGGUCUGAGAGGAUGACCAGCCACACUGGAACUGAGACACGGUCCAG
rnacentral:rRNA from 1 species